rnacentral:rRNA from 1 species
CACGUAGGGCGCAAGCGUUGUCCGGAAUUAUUGGGCGUAAAGAGCUCGUAGGCGGUCUGUUGCGUCUGCUGUGAAAACUCGGGGCUCAACCCCGAGCCUGCAGUGGAUACGGGCAGACUAGAGGUAGGUAGGGGAGAAUGGAAUUCCCGGUGUAGCGGUGAAAUGCGCAGAUAUCAGGAGGAACACCGGUGGCGAAGGCGGGUCUCUGGGCCGUAACUGACGCUGAGGAGCGAAAGCGUGGGGAGCGAACAGG